GCCCUGCCGUGUUCGUGUUCCACCGUGCGUCUCUCUUCCUCCCUCCCCUUGCUCCGAUCGUCGCGUCUGCGGCGCCCGGCGACCAGCGGCGAUGCGGGUGGCAUCCAGGGCGCUCGUGCUCGUCCGCGACGCCGCAGGAUACGGCGCGGCGCUCGCCGACGCUCUCCGCCCGCCGCCAGGGCUCACGAGGGAGGCCGCGUCCGUCGAGCUCCCACUCGGAAAGUACGGCCUCGGCGGUGAGAAGGCGUCCGUCGAGCUCCUGAGCUUCUCCGAUUCCAGUGGCUCUCCGCAGGUGUCUAUUUUUGUUGUGCCAGAUUAUAAGCCCCCUCUUGCAGCGUGUGCUAUGAAUGAGGUCCUAGAACUGAUUUCUGCUGAAUCUACGUCCACUGAGCGAGUUCUAAUUGUCCCAUUCAUCACAAGAUCAUCAAGCUAUCAUCAUGGAAUGGAACAUGCAGCCAACGCAUCGCCUGUACUUCAUGGUGCUGAAAUAGGGGCAACAACUGACUUUACUCACUUGUUGGUUGACGGGACUACUAAACCUCCUACAUCCUUGCAAAUACGUAGUGAACCAAUAUUAUGUUUGCUAGAAAUGGUACGAGUGUUGAAGAUGCCUACAGUCCUUCUUGUCACUUCUGGUGGGCAGCAGCAAGGCAAAAGCUCUACAGUUUCUGAUCUUGAGAAGCUCUGCAGACUACGUAGGUACUGAAAAUUGCCAGAAUUAUUCUGAUCGAAUUGGAAACGAUACCUGACAGGGGUGACGCUGCGUUCAGUUUGCCUGGUGCCAGUGCCACCAGGAUAUUGCAGUGUGUAGGACAGCACUUGGCCAGGCACACCAACUUGGAGUUCAGCAAAGAAUCCGUUCUCGAGAGGGGGAUCGAAAAAUCACCAAUCAUUCAGGAACCCUGGCGCGAGCUGUAUGGGUGACGAAAUUCUCGUAUGCGGGCGCCCGUUGAUCUUGGUUUAGUUGGUUAUACAUGUUUGAGUUAGUGAAUUGUGCGGUGUUUUUGAGCUGGAAUCAGGAAUCAUGGCAGAUCUGGUCUCUGUCCACAUCUUGUAAUAUGAUGCUCAGGACAGCACUUGGCCAUCAGCUGUUGAACUUAGUAGACUUUGAUGUUUAUGCCUGCUUGGCAAAUCAAUUCAUCAGCAAGAAAUCUGAUGUAUAGAACUUGUAAACUCGUCGGCAGUUGGAACACGAAAUGAACAUCUUCUAGCGAACACUGUUCAGAGUUCAGGUUUUA